UUUAUUCUCUUCGUUUCCCUUCUUGCACCCGACGCCGCCGAAACCCCGUGCCCUAACUGCCCCUAACCGGCGCCUCUCGCUUCUUUUUCUCCACUCUCCCUCUGCCGACAGCCGCUUCUCCCCGAUCCUUUCUUCUCUAGCACCGAGUAGCAUCGCCGACCAAUCCCUCUUCCUCCUCCCUCGCGACGCCUUUGCCCUAGAUCGGCGCCGCACGGAGCAGCAUCAACGCCUUCUCUCGAGUUGUCUUGCCGCGCCGAGACGAGGCCGAGCACCGGCCACCAGGUUCAGUACCAAUCGCCUGUGCCCUAGCCGAGCCAUCCUCCGCCCGAUUCUUCUCUUCAUCUUCCCAUGCGCCAGCGACGCGCAAGCCACCGCCGGUUGCCUCCACGUUGUGGUGUUCGGUGGAUUUAGAAAUUGGGUGUUGUGGGCUGUUCCUAGUUCCAGCAGCAACUCUCUCCAGCAACGCCGGUGUCCUCCCGUGCCCUAAUUUCUGACUCAGUGCCCUAACUGUGAUCUGGGAGUGGGGAAGGUUUCCUGUAGGGCUUGCUUUGCUGUGGAUUGAUCUUGGUUCCGGCAGCACCUCUUUGGCUGUGGAUCAAUAGCAGAGAUCUGUGAAUUAGGGUUGAUGCUGUCAGGAGAGAGUUCUAGUCGCUAGUCCCCUGCAGUCCACGAGGACGAGCGUUGAUCUUGUGGUUUUCUUUAUUAGUCUGUAUUUAGACUUGUUACGUUUUGAUACUUGGAUCUUGUGUAUGGAUUUUGUUUUUACAUAUAGAUGGGUUUGGAUUUGGAUUUGUUUUA